AACGCUGGCGGCGCGCUUAAUACAUGCAAGUCGAGCGAGAACCAGACCUUCGGGUCUGGGGACAGCGGCGAACGGGUGAGUAACACGUGGGUAAUCUGCCCUCGGUUCUGGGAUAGCCCGGGGAAACCCGGAUUAAUACCGGAUAGCCUCUUGAGCUUUCGGGCUCUCGAGAAAAGGUAGCUUCGGCCUCCGACCGAGGAUGAGCCCGCGGCGGAUUAGCUUGUUGGCGGGGUAACGGCCCACCAAGGCGACGAUCCGUAGCUGGUCUGAGAGGACGAUCAGCCACACGGGGACUGAGACACGGCCCAGACUCCUACGGGAGGCAGCAGUGGGGAAUCUUGCGCAAUGGGCGAAAGCCUGACGCAGCGACGCCGCGUGAGGGAAGAAGGCCUUCGGGUUGUAAACCUCUUUCAGGAGGGACGAAGCCACUCGGGUUAAUAGCCCAGAGGGUGACGGUACCUCCAGAAGAAGCCCCGGCUAACUACGUGCCAGCCGCCGCGGUAAAAC
rnacentral:rRNA from 1 species